rnacentral:rRNA from 1 species
GGGGGGGGGGGGGGGGGGGGCGGGGGGGGGGGGGGGGGGGGAGCGGGGGGGGGGGGGGCGCGGCUGGCGGGAGCGGCGGGCGGGUGCGUAACGCGUGCAUAACCGGCCGAGCGGGCUGGGGUAACUUCGGGAAGCCGGAGCUAAUAGCGGAUAAUAUAUUGAACCGCCUAGUUCAAUAGUGCCAGACGGUUGUGCUUUCACUUGUAGAUGGGUCCGCGCGGCAGUAGCUAGUUGGUAAGGUAACGGCUUCCCAAGGCAACGAUGCGUAGCCGACCUGAGAGGGUGAUCGGCCACACUCGAACUGAGACACGGUCCAGACUCCUACGGGAGGCAGCCGUAGGGAAUCUUCCGCAAUGGGCGAAAGCCUGACGGAGCAACGCCGCGUGAGUGAUGAAGGUCUUCGGAUCUUAAAACUCUGUUAUUAGGGAAGAACAAAUGUGUAAGUAACUAUGCACGUCUUGACGGUACCUAAUCAGAAAGCCACGGCUAACUACGUG